rnacentral:rRNA from 1 species
UACGAAGGGGGCUAGCGUUGCUCGGAAUCACUGGGCGUAAAGGGUGCGUAGGCGGGUCUUUUAAGUCAGGGGUGAAAUCCUGGAGCUCAACUUCAGAACUGCCUUUGAUACUGAGGAUCUUGAGUUCGGGAGAGGUGAGUGGAACUGCGAGUGUAGAGGUGAAAUUCGUAGAUAUUCGCAAGAACACCAGUGGCGAAGGCGGCUCACUGGCCCAUUACUGACGCUGAGGCACGAAAGCGUGGGGAGCAAACAGG